rnacentral:rRNA from 1 species
AGAGUUUGAUCAUGGCUCAGGAUGAACGGCUGGCGGUAUGCCUAACACAUGCAAGUCGUACGAGAGUUUUUAACUCUAGUGGCGGACGGGUGAGUAACACGUAAGAAUUUACCUUCAGGAGGGGGAUAACAAUUGGAAACAAAUGCUAAUACCCCAUAUGCUUUCGAGUGAAAUGGAUUUAUAUUUAUCCCCCUAAAGAGAAGCUUGCGUCUGAUUAGCUUGUUGGUAAGGUAAAAGCUUACCAAGGCGACGAUCAGUAUCUGGUUUGAGAGGACGAUCAGACACACUGGAACUNANACACGGUCCAGACUCCUACGGGAGGCAGCAGUGGGGAAUUUUCCGCAAUGGGCGAAAGCCUGACGGAGCAAUACCGCGUGAGGGAAGACUGCCUAUGGGU